rnacentral:rRNA from 1 species
GACGAACGCUGGCGGCGUGCUUAACACAUGCAAGUCGAACGGAAAGGCCCUGCUUUUGUGGGGUGCUCGAGUGGCGAACAGGUGAGUAACACGUGAGUAACCUGCCCUUGACUUUGGUAUAACUUCAGGAAACUGGGGCUAAUACCGGAUAGGAGCUCCUGCUGCAUGGUGGGGGGUGGAAAGUUUAGGCGGUUGGGGAUGGACUCGCGGCUUAUCAGCUUGUUGGUGGGGUAGUGGCUUACCAAGGCUUUGACGGGUAGCCGGCCUGAGAGGGUGACCGGCCACAUUGGGACUGAGGUACGGCCCAGACGCCUACGGGAGGCAGCAGUGGGGAAUAUUGCACAAUGGGCGGAAGCCUGAUGCAGAAACGCCGCGUGCGGGAUGACGGCCUUCGGGUUGUAAACCGCUUUCGCCUGUGACGAAGCGUGAGUGACGGUAAUGGGUAAAGAAGCACCGGCUAACUACGUG